CCAUAAACCCGACAGCAGCGAAAAUACUUUUUGUUCGCAGCAACCCUGAAUACCCUGUCAUGCUGAGGUACGAAGCAACUGUAAACGAUGGAAAAGAUGCUUUGUUCUUCAGCAUGACAGAAGUUAAAAAAGAUUGCAGCGAAUGGCGGGACUGCAG
rnacentral:sRNA from 1 species